UUCUCACUCGACCGCGAAAAGACUACGCGCACACGUCAAACUGUGUCCCACACGACCCGUACCUGCCCCGCCCCUCUCCUUCCAACCGCGUCGUCUCCCACCACCGCCGCCGAAACCCUACACCCCCUCCGGCCAUGGCGGAUCCGCCGCCCGUGGCCGCCUCCGCCUCGCCGCAGCCCGACCAGCUCGUCGCGGCCUCCGCCUCCACCCCGCAUAACACCAACCCUAACCCCCUCCUCUCCCCUCAAAUCCCCCCGUCCCCAACCGUCUCCGACCUCUCCGCGCACAUCUCCUCCCCUCAGCAGCUCGACCCGGCCUCGGCGGCUGCUUCCGGCGGCGGAUCCAUGGACUUCCCUCCGCGGCCGCCGCAGCAGCUGCAGGCGCCUUCGCCCACGCAGGCGGCGACCGGCGCCGGCGGCUUCGGCCAGAUCCACCGCUCGGGGUCGGCCUCCCGCCUUUCCACCGCCAGCCAGCUCCCGCAGUACGCCGCCAUGGCGGCUAGGAUGUAUGGCGGGCAGAUGAGUUUCUCGGGCGGCGGAGGGCAAGUGGGUCAGCAGCAGCAGCAGCUGAUAGCGCGCGCGGCCAUGCUUGGGCAGGGCCACCUGGGGAUGCUGCAAGGCCAGGGGAACGCGGCACAUUUCGGGCUUCAGCCGCAGAUGAUGGUGCAGCCAAGGCAAAAGGGCAUGGCACAAAGUACACAAUUUAAUACUGCUAAUGCAGCUCAAGCGCUGCAAGGGAUGCAGCCCAUGGGAGUCAUGGGUACUUUGGGGAUGAACCAGAUGAGACCGAAUGGUACUAUUCCCUAUGGUGCUCAACAACGGUUUGCCCAUGCUCAAAUGAGGCCACAACAAGCAUCUCAGCAAGCAGCAUUAUCCCCGCAGGUAGCCGGUCAAGGCUUGUCGAGAACAGCAUCGAUUGCAGCAGUAAAUUCACAACUACCUGGAUCAUCGCAAAAUGGACAGAUGGUGGCAAUGUCUAUGCCUCAGCAACAGCAGCAGCAGCAAUGGUUGAAGCAAAUGCAAUCAUCAAUGGGAUCACCAGUUUCUCCACAACUUCAUCAACAAAGGCUUAUGUUGAUGCAGCAACUUCAGCAGAAGACAGGAUUGAGCCAACAACAAAUUGCACAAGCCCAACAACAGCAUCCACAUCUCAGUGCCCAACAACUGAUUCAGCAGCAACAAUUUCUACAGCAGCUUCAGCAGCAGCAACCACAACAAUCUCCAAGAAUUUCAGCAUCUGGUUCGCAGAAGUCUGCAAACCUUACAGGAUCGCAGCCGGGUACACCUUUGUCAGGUGGAACUAUGACUGGUGGAAGUGCAAGUCAGGGAGCGGAAGGAACUAGCCAACUCCUUGGGAAAAGAAAAAUACAAGAUCUGGUUGCACAGGUAGAUCCCCUAGGCAAGGUUGACCCUGAUGUGGAAGAUUUGCUUUUAGAGAUUGCUGAUGACUUCAUUGACUCGGUGACUGCAUUUGCAUGCACCUUGGCAAAGCACAGGAAAUCAUCAGUUGUGGAAGCCAAGGACGUGUUGCUGCACUUAGAAAGAAAUUGGCAUUUGUCAGUUCCUGGUUUCUCAAGGGAGGAUAAGAAUCCUCAAAGAAAUUCUGUAAAGCCACUGGUGGAUCCCCAACAACCUGAAAGUGAUGCUGCUGGUAUUAGAGGCGCAAGCAAUAAACUUAUUGCCAAUAACUCGGCUGGCAACCAUCAAAUAAGAUCUCAGGUUGCAGAGCCUUCACCAACGCCGACAGUGGGCCCUCUGUCGAAAGUUCCUCGUUUCUAAGUGUUAUGCUGUUCUCCUCUAUGGUAGGAGAAUUCCCUGUAAGUUCAUCCGGACAAUCUACAUGCACCCCGUCGGUAGGCUAAACUCGAGGAUUGCUAGCAAAUGGAAGUACAAUAAAUUCAUGAGCACCUAUGGGCUAAAAGCGCAGAUGCUCGUGUACUUACAGGAAAGCAGUUGCUGACUGACCACUCGUUGACCAUAGACUCUUGCAAGGCUACUUGUAACUUUUUCCUCUCUAGCUGCCCCCAUCCGUUGUAUAUAAUUGUUUUUGCAACUGGGGCAUCUAAGUGAUUGCACUCAACCCAGAAGCUCAUGACCUAAGACGUAACGCGUGUCUUGUCGGUUGUUACGGGCUCAGUCCUCGAACAAACACAAUUGAGCAAUCUUGUGAGGAGUGUCACUGUUUCUUCUUUCAACUUUA